rnacentral:rRNA from 1 species
AGUCGUGCGAGAAAGGGCUUCGGCCCCGGUAAAGCGGCGCACGGGUGAGUAACACGUAGGUAAUCUACCCUCGAGUGGUGGAUAACCCUCCGAAAGGAGAGCUAAUACAGCAUGAGACCACGGUCUUCGGACUGCGGCCAAAGUGGGCCUAUCCACGGAAGCUCAUGCUCGAGGAAGAGCCUGCGGCCCAUCAGCUAGUUGGCAGGGUAACGGCCUACCAAGGCGAAGACGGGUAGCUGGUCUGAGAGGAUGAACAGCCACACUGGAACUGAGACACGGUCCAGACUCCUACGGGAGGCAGCAGUGGGGAAUCUUGCGCAAUGGGCGAAAGCCUGACGCAGCGACGCCGCGUGAGCGAUGAAGGCCUUCGGGUUGUAAAGCUCUGUGGGGAGGAAAGAAUAAGGGCAGGCUAAUACCCUGUCCGAUGACGGUACCUCCUUAGCAAGCACCGGCUAACUCUGUGCCAGCAGCCGCGGUAAGACAGAGGGUGCAAACGUUGUUCGGAAUUACUGGGCGUAAAGCGCAUGUAGGCGGCUUCGCAAGUCGGGCGUGAAAGCCCACGGCUCAACCGUGGAAGUGCACUCGAAACUGCGGAGCUAGAGUCCCGGAGAGGAAGGUGGAAUGCUUGGUGUAGAGGUGAAAUUCGUAGAUAUCAAGCG